rnacentral:misc_RNA from 1 species
CACUAAUAUAGCAGAUUAAUUUGUCAUCAAUAGAUCUCUGCCUUAAGAAACAUCUAUUUUAUUAAGUAAAGGAGAAUGACUCUUUAUAGAUUUCCAUCUGCCAAAGUACCGUGAGGGAAUUACCAAAAUUUAAUUACCAUUUAGUAGCGUUUAAGUCGCGCACCUUUUGUAUCAUGGUUUAACUAGAUUUACAACCUAAAAUCCAGGCCUCUCGAAAUCCAAUGUGCUACCUUGUUUAAUUGUUGUUAGCAAUAUUUAAAGUAAUUGUGGCAUAAAUUUUUUAAUAAAACAAGGAAGAAAUGAAAUUUUAUUCGUAUUGGAUGAUAGCUAGUUUCUCCUAAAAGGCAUAUAAGUGCCAGAAUCUAAUAAAUAGAUCAAGACUUCAUCUUGAAAUAUUUUUAUAUUCCUUAGAUUUUUGAGGAUAAGCUCAAAAAUAACUCUAUAAUAUUCUUUCUUAAUUUAAAUUUAAGCUUGGAAAUAGCUACAAUUUUUAAAUUUGUUAUAAUUUAUAAAAUAAAUAAAGAAAUGAUUGAUUUAUUUUUACCAUAAGGAGAUCUAGCCUUACACAUUUCAAGGCUAGUUUCCAUGUUAAAAUGAGUACUAUUACUAUAUAAAAAUUUAAUCUUUUACUAAUUAAAACUUAACUCACUUAUUCAUAAAUUAAUUUCUGUAAAGGAACUCGGCAAAGUUUUAGCCCUGCCUGUUUAUCAAAAACAUGGCUCUUUGGAAAACUUACAUAAAGAGUCGGACCUGCCCAGUGAUACAUCUCGUAUUCAACGGCCGCGGUACUCUGACCGUGCAAAGGUAGCAUAAUCAUUUGCCCUAUAAUUGAGGGCUAGUAUGAAAGGUUUGACAAGGGCAACCCUGUCUCUGCAGAAAUCUCUGGAAUUUAUUUUCUAGGUGAAGAAACCUAGAUAAUAUUAAAAGACAAGAAGACCCUAUCGAGCUUAAAACUCAUUUAUGAUAUAAAGAAAGUGAUAUAUACAUUUCUUUUCAUAAAAAAUUUUGGUUGGGGCGACUAAGGAACAACUAAAGCUUCUUUUAUUUAUAAAAAUAUCUAAAUCUAGAUCCGUACUAGUUACGAUUAAAAGAAUUAGUUACCGUAGGGAUAACAGCAUAAUCUUUUUUGAGAGUUCUCAUCGAAAAAAAGGUUUGUGACCUCGAUGUUGGACUAGAAUAUCCUGACAGGUGCAGAAGCCUUCAAGGGUUGGUCUGUUCGACCAUUAAAAUUCU